ACGCUCGACACCUACGGGGGGCAGCAGUGGGGAAUAUUGCACAAUGGGGGAAACCCUAGAUGCAGCGACGCCGCGUGAGCGAAGAAGUAUUUCGGUAUGUAAAGCUCUAUCAGCAAGGGAAGAUAAUGACGGUACCUGACUAAGAAGCUCCGGCUAAAUACGUGCAGCAGCCGCGGUAAUCUGAGCGGGCUGGCAAGGC
rnacentral:rRNA from 1 species